UGGCUACUGCAUCAGUUACAAUAUAAUAUAAAGUCUGUACACACCCCUUCAGUGAACAAAUGAAUGAUACAUCAAAACUAAGAUACAUAAGGAGGAAUUAAAGAAUUGACCUGACUGCUGAUUUUCAACUACAGACUUGACAUUGUACUGAUAAAGCAGCAGUAUAAGAGAGACCUAAAAAAUUCUCACUCUUCAAGCAGGCAUCACAAAUUGAAGGGAAACAAAAACCAAGAUCACAAAAAUCUUGGAUCAGAUUGAAGAAGACUGCGAAAUGCAAAUACCAAUCAUGGCAUAUGUACCCGUAAAAGUAGGUAGCUUUAUCAAGAAACUGUGUGAAACAAUGAACUGCAAUAUUGAGAACACAGGGGACACCACCUUUGUUUCGAUUCAGAUUUUAGAAGAGAUCGACCUUCUUCUUGUGGAUAUCUUGCUUCCAUUUAGGCA
rnacentral:misc_RNA from 1 species